UAAUACGGAGGGUGCAAGCGUUAUCCGGAUUUACUGGGUUUAAAGGGUGUGUAGGCGGACUUUUAAGUCAGCGGUGAAAUCUCCGGGCUCAACCCGGAAACUGCCAUUGAUACUAUUGGUCUUGAAUGUUGUUGAGGUGGGCGGAACGGGUCAUGUAGCGGUGAAAUGCAUAGAUAUGACCCGGAACACCGAUUGCGAAGGCAGCCCACUAAGCAACGAUUGACGCUGAGGCACGAAAGCGUGGGGAUCAAACAGGAUUAGAUACCCUGGUAGUCCACGCCCUAAACGAUGAUUACUCGACGUUGGCGAUACACUGAUCAGCGUCCAAGCGAAAGCAUUAAGUAAUCCACCUGGGAAGUACGUUCGCAAGAAUG
rnacentral:rRNA from 1 species